rnacentral:rRNA from 1 species
UGGGGGAAUAUUGCACAAUGGGCGCAAGCCUGAUGCAGCCAUGCCGCGUGUGUGAAGAAGGCCUCGGGUUGUAAAGCACUUUCAGCGAGGAGGAAGGUGGUGAACUUAAUACGUUCAUCAAUUGACGUUACUCGCAGAAGAAGCACCGGCUAACUCCGUGCCAGCAGCCGCGGUAAUACGGAGGGUGCAAGCGUUAAUCGGAAUUACUGGGCGUAAAGCGCACGCAGGCGGUUUGUUAAGUCAGAUGUGAAAUCCCCGGGCUCAACCUGGGAACUGCAUUUGAAACUGGCAAGCUAGAGUCUCGUAGAGGGGGGUAGAAUUCCAGGUGUAGCGGUGAAAUGCGUAGAGAUCUGGAGGAAUACCGGUGGCGAAGGCGGCCCCCUGGACGAAGACUGACGCUCAGGUGCGAAAGCGUGGGGAGCAAAACAGGAUUAGAUACCCUGGUAGUCCACGCUGUAAACGAUGUCGAUUUUGGAGGUUGUGCCCUUGAGGCGUGGCUUCCGGAGCUAACGCGUUAAAGUCGACCGCCUGGGGGAGUACGG